GCAUUUCGCCCUAGGGCCUCGAAUUCCUGGAGACGGCCCUGGAGGAUUCAGUGGAGGGAGCACGGGAGCUGCAACCCCCUAUGUUUUGCGCUGUAUUUCCUUCAGGAUUCAGCGGGGAGGUCAAAUAGAGGAGGCAUGUGAGCGCCACAUCAACGACCUAAUCGACCUCUAUGAUGGCUUCUAGUGACCAGGGUUUAACAUAAAACUCAGACGGUGACAAGAGAAAGAGGGAGGAAGCUUGGUAUCAUGGUAGCAAAGCUAAGUGCCAAGAUUGAGUUAAGCAAAACCUGGUGGCUUGUUGUUGUUCGCUGUCCAUUGCUUGCUGAUCAAAGAAUCAUGGAAGGGUCAUUCUAGUUGAAUCCCAAUGCCAGUCUUUCAUACCUAACAUUUGCAGAUAAGUCAUUGAAAAAACAAGUAUGCGAGACUAUAGGCGAUUUUUCUAAUGGCUAUGCUUAUUUUUGAAGUUUCAUAUGUGGGUACGUUGAUCAUAUCCUACCAGUUUUGCGGUCAUCGUCAUUGGGAGACCCUUCCGAUACACUUUUGAUCCUUAGCACUUAACAGUAUCAGGGAAUCGGCAUGUAUCCACUUGCUCUUGCCAAAAUGGUAUUUCCAAUUCAACUGUAACUCUGUUGCCAACCCAAAAAGUUUGUUUGCAACUUUAUUAACCUUUUGUUAUUUUGGGAUUUUUUUUUCAAGAUGGGUGGCAUCUUUUGUUAUUGAUGAAGAUAAACCCAAAUCUUUACAUUGUUCCA